rnacentral:rRNA from 1 species
ACUCAAAGGAAUUGACGGGGGCCCGCACAAGCAGUGGAGUAUGUGGUUUAAUUCGAAGCAACGCGAAGAACCUUACCAGGGCUUGACAUCCAACUAACGAGGCAGAGAUGCGUCAGGUGCCCUUCGGGGAAAGUUGAGACAGGUGGUGCAUGGUUGUCGUCAGCUCGUGUCGUGAGAUGUUGGGUUAAGUCCCGCAACGAGCGCAACCCUUACGGUUAGUUGCUACGCAAGAGCACUCUAGCCGGACUGCCGUUGACAAAACGGAGGAAGGUGGGGACGACGUCAAAUCAUCAUGCCCCUUACGUCCUGGGCUACACACGUACUACAAUGGCGGACAUACAACGGGUUGCGACAUAGCGAUAUGAAGCUAAUCUCUAAAAAGCCGUCUCAGUUCGGAUUGCAGGCUGAAACCCGCCUGCAUGAAGUCGGAAUUGCUAGUAAUCGCGGAUCAGCAUGCCGCGGUGAAUACGUUCCCGGGCCUUGUACACACCGCCCGU